rnacentral:lncRNA from 13 species
UGCUCUGCAGGAUUAGGACAUAGCGUUGGUGCUAUACAUCCUCUGAGCAUAAUAUAUACCAAAAAACGAUACUGCCUGCUCACGAAAUUAUUGCAAAAAACCUGCACAAGAAGUACGUUGACAUUCAGGAGAGGUUUUGGAGCUGACGAGGACAACAUGAAUUCGUUCUGGAUACACGCAAUUUGGAUACCGGGAUUCUUGUUCUUUUUUGGAUUUCAAGGUAAGUCAGUGCUGCUAAAAACCUUCAAGGAGAAGACAGUGAGGAAUGGCUUUGCUGUCGUUUAGGGGCGGAGACCUCUGUAAAACUCUCAAUGGCUUUCUAUCCAUCAAAAGGUGGAUGUUGGGAGUGAGUGAGUUAACGUCAAUCAUAACAUCCUUUCUGAGACACGCUUCCUGAUUGAACUUCCAGGCUCCUCUCUGUGUGUGUUGCCUGUGGCUACAGUAUUACCUGUGUAUCUGCCAUCAGCUGGGUUGGAGAGCAGAUGUAAUCACAGCAUUAUUCCCCCUCUGUGCUGUCACACACCAACACAAAACACCUCAACUUGAUUAGCAUUAUUCACUCCUGAAUAGGUUUCUUGUCAUUUAUUUGUGUUUGCCUGCAGAGGUAUGCUUAUGCCGAUAGCAGCAAGGAGGAUGUGAGGGAUGUAGGCCCACAUCAGGUGUAGUUUCACUUGUGUUUGUGUAUAUGAUGCCCCAGUUGUUCAUCAUUUGUAGGGAGGUGUGCUCUUUUUUAUUACCCACUAGUAGAAUUAAAUGAACUGAUCUUCUGUUUUCAUGUGCUGGUGUUUGAUGGCAUUAUAGCCCUCUCACUGUGCUUUGAGACUCCUGUGUGUGUGUAUUACAGCUCUAGAGUAGGAUCAUUAGCCCCAUAACUCACCCUGUUAACCCUGUGCUGUAGUUGCUGUUGGGUUGAUCUCUCCCUGUGAUGUAUUAUGGGUGUUGCAGGGAAGCGUUCCAGCUGACUAACGUAGAUAAGCUGUUGGAGAUGGACUGCCGCUAGUCUUAUUUGUUCCCUUGAGGAUCGUGUUCAUCUUGUGAUUUAAACACUUUGGCUAUUCUUCUUCUUUCUUUUGAACGUGUUGAAGUAUCUUCCCCCUCCAUCUCCUCUCCUAUUAAGCAAAAGCAGAAUAGAGACUUCACCUUUCAAUUAAUCACUCUCGAUGUUACCAUGCAUGUUAACCAACGGUCAAUGAGGUGCUGUAGAUUUGUCUGUAUAAAUAGUACAUGGCAAACCCACCAUACAUAGGUUAUUAUUAGUUAUGCAGUGGGUUUAAUAUUUCAAUGCUUCUGUCUGAUUUCCUUGGAUUUCCAGCACAAAGAAAUUCUACAAAAUAGAAUAGCUUAUAGAAUU